CGGGAAUUGACAUGCCCAGUAAAUCAAGGACUAUUUCAAAACCAGUCAAGGAUGCUUCUGAGCUCCCAAAGUGGAACUACGAUGGAUCAAGUGCUGGACAAGCACCAGGAGAAGACAGUGAAGUCAUUCUAUAUCCUCAGGCAAUAUUCAAAGACCCUUUCUGUGGUGGUAACAACAUCUUGGUGAGUUGU